UGCCAGCCGCCGCGGUAAUACGGAGGGGGUUAGCGUUGUUCGGAAUUACUGGGCGUAAAGCGUACGUAGGCGGAUUAAUAAGUUAGAGGUGAAAUCCCAGGGCUCAACCCUGGAACUGCCUUUAAAACCGUUAGUCUUGAGAUCGAGAGAGGUGAGUGGAAUUCCAAGUGUAGAGGUGAAAUGCGUAGAUAUUCGGAGGAACACCAAUUGCGAAGGCAGUUCACUGGACCGUGAUCGACGCUGAGGAGCGAAAGCUAGGGGAGCAAACAGGAUUAGAUA
rnacentral:rRNA from 1 species